GACGAACGCUGGCGGCGUGCUUAACACAUGCAAGUCGAACGGAAAGGCCCUGCUUUUGUGGGGUGCUCGAGUGGCGAACGGGUGAGUAACCCGUGAGUAACCUGCCCUUGACUUUGGGAUAACUUCAGGAAACUGGGGCUAAUACCGGAUAGGAGCUCCUGCUGCAUGGUGGGGGAUGGAAAGUUUCUGCGGUUGGGGAUGGACUCGCGGCUUAUCAGCUUGUUGGUGGGGUAGUGGCUUACCAAGGCUUUGACGGGUAGCCGGCCUGAGAGGGUGACCGGCCACAAUGGGACUGAGGGACGGCCCAGACUCCAACGGGGGGCAGCGGUGGGGAAUAUUACACAAUGAUCGGAAGCCUGAUGCAGCAACGCCGCGUUCGUGAUGACGGCCUGCGGGUUGUAAACCGCUUUCGCCUGUGACGAAGCGUGAGUGACGGUAAUGUGUAAAGAAGCACCGGCUAACUACGUG
rnacentral:rRNA from 1 species